ensembl:lncRNA
CCCCUCCCUCUCCCCUCUGGUUUUUUUGUGUGAUGACAAGGGGCACACCGACAUGGAAAUGUGGAAGUCCCUGUUUCAACAAUGAGGUCAUCUGGUCCCCUGACUGACUCUCUCUCUCAAACGGGCUUUUUGUCAGCAUCCCUAACAUUUCCACAAAUCAAAUUUCCCUGUAAGGAAGUAAAGAAUGAAGCAACCUCGGUGGGAAUCGGCAUAUUCCAUCACUUCGACAACAAACAUGCCGCUGCAAGUCGCAUCAUCGGAUGAAUGAGCUUGGAAAGCUCCAGUGGGAGGUGUGGCAUUGCUGUAACCGUCGUUGGCAAACUCCCACGAUGGAUUAUAUUCUGACCCUAGGCCCCCGACCCGCAGUGUAUUUUAUACAAGCGAAGAAGAGGAUGGUUUAAUCUGGGUGGGACCAACUUCUCAAGCACAUGCUUAAUCCCCUGGAUCUCCUCAGUCACCUUUCACCUUUGCAUCGUCCACAGUCCUGGUGAUUGAAGGCUGCAUUCGCUGACUUACGAGGACGGUGCCGUGGUCCCUCCCUGUCCUGCUCUGGUUUGCGUUAGUGCCUGCUUGGUGUGGAUACAAGAAUGCGACUGAAACGCUUUAGUAGCAAACUUUUUGGAUGCUUUGAUGAUGGUUUUCCCACACGGACGGCUUUGGUUGCAAGGUAAACAGUCGCUGUGGAGAGCAGAGGCGGAUAUGCAAUUUCAGAGCCCACGGGCUACAUAGCAGACAAUGAUUUAGCUUUUUAUUGGUUUAAAGUUAGUGUAAACUGGCUCCAAGGCAAAACAUCCUGUCUCCGGCUCGAGUUUUGAGUCUUAACUUGAUGAAAAAACUGUAAACAAUAAGUGGCCUAUGGCAUAGUGGAGUAGUUCAAUGAGCACAGCAAGACUAUAGUUUAUAUCUCCCCAUUUUACAGCUGAGCCCAAAACAAUGAACUACUUUGGAUGUACAGCUUUGAGAAAUUAUUAAUUGCCACAAUAAUCACAUGCAAUAUGUAAAAGCAUUUGUUUUUCCUUUGUUUUAG